rnacentral:rRNA from 1 species
CGGGGAUAGUGGCGCACGGGUGCGUAACGCGUGGGAAUAUACCCUUGGGUAAAGGAUAAUGUCUGGAAACGGGCACUAAUACUUUAUAAUGACUUCGGUCCAAAGAUUUAUCGCCAAAGGAUUAGCCCGCGUCUGAUUAGAUAGUUGGUGAGGUAAUGGCUCACCAAGUCUACGAUCAGUAGGGGGUCUGAGAGGAUGAUCCCCCACACUGGGACUGAGACACGGCCCAGACUCC